GCCCGGUUGGUGUAGUGGUUAUCACGCUCGAAGCAAAUUCGAGAGACCUUGGUUCAAAUCCAAGACUGGGCA